UGGGGAAUAUUGGACAAUGGGCGAAAGCCUGAUCCAGCCAUGCCGCGUGUGUGAAGAAGGUCUUCGGAUUGUAAAGCACUUUAAGCGAGGAGGAGGGUACUGGUAUUAAUACUACCAGGUACUGGACGUUACUCGCAGAAUAAGCACCGGCUAACUCUGUGCCAGCAGCCGCGGUAAUACAGAGGGUGCGAGCGUUAAUCGGAUUUACUGGGCGUAAAGCGUGCGUAGGCGGCUAAUUGAGUCGGAUGUGAAAGCCCCGGGCUCAACCUGGGAACUGCAUCCAAAACUGGCGAGCUAGAGUAGGGCAGAGGGUGGUGGAAUUUCCUGUGUAGCGGUGAAAUGCGUAGAUAUAGGAAGGAACACCAGUGGCGAAGGCGACCACCUGGGCUCAUACUGACACUGAGGUGCGAAAGCGUGGGGAGCAAACAGG
rnacentral:rRNA from 1 species